GGGAGACUUUUGUUGAGCUGCUUGAAAUAAUGAGCAGUCGUAAAGACUUCUUGUGCAGUGAGAAGUAUAUAUUUUCUCUAUCGUUGAAGUUGCGUGUUUAUUUAUUUAUUUAUUUUUUUAAUCGUUUCGUGUUUUUCUCUUCGUUAAUUCUGUGGCCGUCUGGACUACCGAGUUGAAAAAGCUUCAUUACGGCCGUAACUGAGUGGACUCCGUGACGUCACAGGAUCUAAGUUGGUAACUAUUUUUUGCCUCUGAAUAGGAAGGUUAUAUUGGUGCGAGUGGCCAUAGCAACGGUGGUUUCCAGAACUAAGUUACGAAUCUUCCAUUACUGAACUUGGUCACGAAUCUGCCAGCACUAGAACUUGGUCACGAAUCUGCCCGGUCAGCUGAACUGAUGUUCGUCUGUAAAUGGGACUCUGGCAGUUCAGCGAUAGCAAAAGAUGAUUAAAAGAUUCUUUACUUCACUGCAAUAUUAAAAAGUUUACCAUGAUUGGCUGCUUGCAUUAUUUCCAAAGUUAGUAAAGGCUUCUAAAUGCUGUUUCGUAAGUUGUCAUGAAACUAAUAGUGUGGAAUUAUAAUGAAAAUUUGUAUGCCA